ACAUUUUUUUCCCUUAUACAACAAGGGAAUAUAACAAGAUAUAUUGUACAUCUUGGCUAUAAAAUCUAGAUGAUUGUUUAAUGUUUGUGUGCUAUGGGGGGAAAGGAAGUGUCAAACAUAACACUUUUUCGCAAGGUCCUGAAGACUUGAUUUUGCCAACAGACCUUGGGAACCCAGAGUGGGAUGGAGCCCAAGAAGUAACUUAUUUGAUUCCUUGUUGUUGCUGUGAGGAUCACACAGAAGUUAGACAAAUAUGUUCAUUAUAAUAAACAUCAGAAAAAUGCUGUAUUCUUCUGAGGUCACACUGCCCUUUCAACAUAAUUUUCAAAGCUUGCAUAGUCCUAAUAUACAUUUACAUGCCUUUUUGCUAAUUGUGCUUCUAAUCCUAAAAGGUGAAGCCAGAAUAACUUUCUUAAAAUUUGCUCUGGGUAGAUUCAGCUUCUGAAUUUCUCAUCAACAGAACAAUUCAUUAAUUGCUGCUUACACACAGUUGCAUCAGUUCCAUUUAAAAGCUGAUUAUGGAUUAUCUCAUUCAUAUAUUCAAGAUCAUAUUGGGUCUAUUACUGGGUCUGUACUGAUGCAUACCAACCACCACAUAAUGAGAGCAAAAUUUCUCUAACUAAGAACAAAAAUUAGACAAGUUGCAAUGACACAACCAUCAAACAACUCUAUCAGAAUUACUAAGAAUAUUCAUCGACAUAUUGCAAUGCCCUUUGGGAAGGAAACCCCUGAGGCAGGAGUUGGUACAUUCCAACGACUCUCUGCCUAACUGACUUGCUGACUGAUGAAGCUGCUUGGAUGAGCAACAAAACCUCUCAAACUAACAACAAGAAUUAGUCCAGAUACAAUGACCCAACCUUCAAACAAUUCUACCUGGAUUACUGAGAAUUUUCAUUGAUACUAUGUAAUAUGUUUAGAGGAGCUUGGAGUCCGGAGUCCCAGAAUUUGGAUGUAAGUUAGCUCAUUAGAGAUAAUUUGUUUGAAAAAGUUUUGUUCCAUGAUGCACCGUUUCAUCCAAUUAAAGCUCAGCAUGGCUUACACCAGUUGACUUCAGGAAGCGCAGUAAACCUGACUUGUUGCCUUAAAUUAAAAGGUACACAAGCUGAUUGAAUUAUCAGAUCCUUUCUUUGCACUGCAAAUCUUUUCACUUCUACUGUUAAAACGCCAAGCCACCCCACACUGGCUCAAGUGAAAUUAUUAUUUUCUUGUUAAUUAGUAUUUGAGAUUAUUAAAAGAAAAUCCUUACCCAAGAAACUGAGCACCAGAAGGCCCAACCUCGAUAAGGCGACUGGCAAGACCAUCUCCUUCCACCAUGGGAGGCAUUGUGGCGAGUCUAUGGCGUUUGACCAACCGGCAAGUAACUCGAGUUGGAGCAGUGCAUUUCCGAGGUGGAAUAAUGAUUCGAAGCCCAUUGUGUCUGCAACCCCGCAUAGCACCACCUCGAGCAUCAACCAUAAAACUGACCAGAAAACUGAAAAUUGGGAAGAAAAAUUAGGCAUGAAAAUGAGUUAUAAUGCAUGUUACAGAACAUAAAUAUUUCAGAAGCAACAAAUUUUAAAUAUGUGUACUAACCAUUCUCAAUGAUCAAAAUUAAUAUGUAUAUUAUAUACUUAUGGUUAAACUGUAGUUAGAGCUUUUAAUUAACUGCACAGACAAAAAGAUCAGUAAUAUUUUUAUUAUUUUUAGGGAGUCAAACCAAUUAGCAUAAUACUAACAAAAACUCAGUUGAUUAAUUUGUACAAGUUGUCCUGGAUACUACAACAGAGUAACAUCCAGCUCUAUAACCUGUCCUAUGCUAAUAAUGUUGAUUAGAAAAUUGAGGCUAAUAUCAGAAUACAAUUAUUAACAAAAAAGAAAAUAUGGAAAAUGGGAAGAAGUUUUCUCAGUGUCAAUUUUUGUAAAAGUUGUAUCCUUGCAAGGACUAAAAUUUCUAGGAUGUUAUAAAGAUGUUGGAAUUCAUGCUCAUAUAAGGAAUCUGAUGCACACCUAUUAUUUGUCAUCUGAUGUUUAAAUGUAAUAAGAAUAACACCUGAAUUUGACAACUAGCAAAAUAUACUGUAAAAUGUAUGGAAAUGUAGCCAUGUGUGGUUUACACAUUUUUCAUUGGGAUCUUCUUGAAAUUCUGUCCCUUAAGAUAAAACUAAUAGGUAAUAUAAAUAUUUUGUAUGAAAAACAAAUACUGAAUUUAUUUCUUUUAAAGCAUCUACUAAGUUUUGAAUUUUUCCCAAGUCAAUAUUACAUGCAAAAUAUAAAUAAGCAAAUCAAUGUGGAUGAAGAUGAAGAACCAUGAUCUGCCAUCUUGAAACAUGCCAUGCAUCCUAAAGACUUUCCUAUAUCUCCUCUGUGUCUUUACCCCAAUGCAUUGAUGUUCCUCAAUAACAGUAAAAAAAAACAUUAGCAGUUACAAUGCUCCAUGUUUACAGCUACAAUGUCAAUCACACUUUCUAAUUUAUGGUUAUCAAAUAUACAAGAAUUAGCCUGCCCAAAGAAAAGUGGGGAGUUGCCAAUUCUAGAUCUUACCAAAUGCAGUCGGGGGAUUCAGGAAGGACAUUUUAUUUCUAGGUUUAAAGAGCAAUGGACUGUAGACAAACAGUUGGUAGUAGAAAAUUGCACAGAGAACAAGCAACACAAAGUUAUGGAAGAGUGCAUGCACUGGUGGUUUCAACAAGGAAAUAAUAUGUUAGCUAAAGUUUAUUUAUUUAUUUUUUAUUAAGGGUUUUGAAUUGUGUUUUGGACUUGGAAGUAAGUCCCAUUUUGAUUAAUGAAACUUAAUUCCUAAUAAAUUUGCCUGGGAUUUUCAUGUUUAUUUUUAAAUGUAUAACUCUUAUCUUUUCUUAACAGUCAAAGUUAUAUAACUGUAUGUGCUAGGCCUAUAUCAAAAUUGCAUAUAGUCAUAUAAAUCCUUGAUUUAGUAAUUCUUAAAGCUUUCUGAAUAAUCCUAACAAAUAUUAUAUGACAAUAACAGGAUGAAAAUAAAUGACGCACUUGUCCCAAA